GACGAACGCUGGCGGCGCGCUUAACACAUGCAAGUAGAACGAAGUGGCCAACGGGUGAGUCAUACGCGGGUAACCUGCCCUCCUGUUUGGGAUCAGCCUUGGAAACGGUGUCUAAUACCGACAACAGGGGGAGGGGCUCGCGGCCUAUCAGCUUGUUGGUGGGGUGAUGGCCUACCAAGGCGGUGACGGGUAGCCGGCCUGAGAGGGUGACCGGCCACAUUGGGACUGGUAUACGGCCCGGACUGCUACGGGAGGCAGCAGUGGGGGAGAUGUCACAAUGGGCGAACGCCUGAUGCAGGGACGCCGCGUGGGGGUUGAAUGCUAUGGGGUUGUAAACCUCUUUCGCUAUCGAGCGUGGAGGUGGGGGAGGGGCGCCGGCUAACUACGUGCCAGCAGCCGCGGUAAUAC
rnacentral:rRNA from 1 species